rnacentral:rRNA from 1 species
UACAGAGGGUGCGAGCGUUGUCCGGAAUCACUGGGCGUAAAGGGCGCGUAGGCGGCUUGAUAAGCGUGCGGUGAAAGCCCGGGGCUCAACCCCGGGUCGGCCGUGCGAACUGUCGAGCUGGAGCACUGUAGAGGCAGGUGGAAUUCCGGGUGUAGCGGUGGAAUGCGUAGAGAUCCGGAAGAACACCGGUGGCGAAGGCGGCCUGCUGGGCAGUAGCUGACGCUGAUGAGCGAAAGCGUGGGGAGCGAACAGG